GAAUAGAAUACGAACAGCCUAGCCUACCCAACCCUUCUCAAGCUCCCGCCCUUCUUUCGCCUUCAUCAUCACUUUCCUUGUACUCCAAUUUUUUAUUCAUAUUUUUCCCAAUUAUUUCCUUCAAUUCAAUCAAUUUGAAUCCAAAACCCUAAAUCUGAAUUCCUGAUACCACUAAAAAUUGGACCAAGGUUCUAGGGUUUCUCUGCUAUUCCGAAAACCCUAAUUAAAACUUGCCAUUUUUGUCUCUUACUCCACUGGCUAAAGCUAAAGGUUGAAUAUUGCUGAAGAUCCACAAGAGUUCACUUUCUCAGCGGAAUAAGACUAUGAGAGUCUUUGUGAAAGUCUAUAUCUUUCUGGAUUACAACAGUGUGAGGUUUGGGGCUUGAGAUAUUUCAAUUGAAAUUGAUCUGAAACCGUUUGAAAAUUUUGACAUGGAUAACGAGGUGAUUGAGUUUGAUAUUGGGCUGGGAGGAGGGGGAGGCCGGGAUGGGGAAGAUGAUUUUGUAGACAUUGAGCAUCCUGUCGAUGAUGAGGAAAUGGUUGAUAGUCCUCUUCUGGGGAGUGGCACUGGCAGUGGCAGUGGUAUUGUUUUCGGUGGUGGAGGGAGUGGUGAAAUUUACUUUCCUGAGGGGGAUCUCUUGGACCUCGAGCCAUAUGACGGCAUGGAAUUUGAGUCCGAAGAGGCUGCCAAGGCCUUUUACAAUUCGUAUGCACGGCGUGUUGGGUUCAGUACUCGUGUCAGCUCCUCACGUCGUUCCAGGCGCGAUGGAGCAAUCAUACAGAGGCAGUUUGUUUGUGCUAAAGAGGGUUUCCGGAAUUUGAAUGAGAAGCGCACCAAGGAUAGGGAGAUUAAGCGCCCUCGGACUAUCACUAGAGUAGGGUGCAAAGCAUCCUUGUCUGUAAAGAUGCAAGAUUCGGGGAAAUGGGUGGUGUCUGGUUUUGUUAAGGAGCAUAAUCAUGAGUUGGUUCCGCCAGAUCAGGUGCAUUGUCUUCGUUCUCAUAGGCAAAUAUCCGGUCCUGCCAAGACAUUGAUUGAUACCUUGCAGGCUGCUGGAAUGGGUCCCAGGAGGAUUAUGUCAGCGCUGAUUAAGGAAUAUGGUGGGAUAAGCAAAGUCGGAUUUACAGAGGUGGAUUGUAGGAAUUACAUGAGGAAUAAUCGCCAUAAGAGCUUAGAUGGGGACAUUCAGAUGCUUUUGGAUUACUUGAGACAAAUGCAAGCUGAUAGCCACAACUUUUUCUAUGCUGUGCAGGGCGAUGACGAUCAGUCCAUGGGAAAUGUUAUUUGGGCUGAUCCAAAGGCAAGGAUGAACUAUAGUUAUUUUGGUGAUACUGUUACUUUUGACACUACCUACAGGUCUAACAGGUACCGUUUGCCCUUUGCACCUUUCACAGGGGUGAACCAUCAUGGUCAGCCUGUUUUGUUUGGUUGUGCCUUUCUGAUAAAUGAAUCUGAAGCAUCAUUCGUUUGGCUGUUCAAAACAUGGCUUAUGGCAAUGUCAGGCCGGCCCCCAGUGUCAAUUACCACUGAUCAUGAUCCUGUGAUACAGUCAGCCAUCACGCAGGUUUUCCCGCAGACCCGGCUCCGUUUCUGCAAAUGGCACAUCUUUAAGAAAUGUCAGGAGAAGCUAUCCCAUGUGUUUCUUAAACAUCCAACCUUUGAAGCAGACUUUCACAAGUGUGUUAAUUUGACUGAGUCCAUAGAAGAAUUUGAGUCUUACUGGUUGUCUCUUGUUGAUAGAUACAACCUCAGAGAUCAUGAAUGGAUUCAAAUGGUAUACUCUGCUCGCAGGCAGUGGGUCCCUGUAUAUCUGCGGGACACUUUUUUUGCAGAAAUGUCCAUUACUCAGAGAAGCGACAGUAUUAACUCAUAUUUUGAUGGAUAUGUGAAUGCUUCAACAAAUUUGAAUCAGUUCUUUAAGCUUUAUGAGAAAGCUCUAGAGAGUCGAAAUGAGAAGGAAGUGAAAGCAGAUUUUGAAACUAUGAACACUGCCCCAGUUUUGAAAACCCCAUCUCCAAUGGAAAAGCAAGCAUCCGAGCUUUAUACAAAAAAGAUAUUUAUGAGGUUUCAAGAGGAGUUAGUUGGAACGCUAACUCUCACGGCAUCUAAGGGUGAUGAUGAUGGGGAGAUCAUCACAUAUCAAGUAGCAAAGUUUGGGGAGGACCAUAAAGCAUACUUUGUUAAGUUUAAUGUUUUGGAGAUGAUGGCAGCUUGUAGUUGCCAGAUGUUUGAGUUCUCAGGUCUUCUUUGCAGACAUGUAUUGGCAGUCUUUAGAGUGACCAAUGUGCUGACUCUCCCAUCCCAUUACAUAUUGAAACGAUGGACUAGAAAUGCCAAGAGCAGUGUCAUGUUAGAAGAACGUUCUAGUGAUGUAUAUACCAAUUAUCUAGAAUCUCAUACUGUUCGGUUCAAUACCCUACGUCACGAGGCCUUUAAAUUUGUAGAUGGAGCAAGGUCUUCAGAAACUUAUGACAUUACAGUGGAAGCUUUGAAAGAAGCUGCAAAGAAAGUUGCUCAUGCAACAAAGCAUGAGGGGAAAUCCAUGGUCAAUGGGCAUGUCAGGGGGAACUUGGCUAGUGGGGCAAGUCAGGCAGCACGUUGUGCUAGUGGGGAUCAUGAAGGAAGUUCUGGCCAACACUUGUCUGAGGAUGAUAUGGACAAAAAAAUUCGAGAACUUACGAAUGAGCUGGAGUGCGCAAAUCGGAAAUGUGAAGUUUAUCGGGCUAACCUGCUUUCAGUUUUGAAAGAUAUAGAGGAUCAUAAGUCACAAUUGUCAAUUAAAGUACAAAACAUUAAAAUUGGCAUGAAAGACGGCCUAUAAAGUCUGCAACAGUAACUUUUCGGGAGGAAAAAUCAUUGUAUGAAUGCUUGCACAAGAAGACAGGCGUGAGAGCCGAAAGGUUCAUCGGGUCGAAGGUAAUAAUCAGAUGUUAUUUUCUGUGCCUGUCGAAUAACACCUUCAAUUCUAAGUUUUCGUAUAAGCUUGUUGGUAAAUUCAUCCUUGAUUUGACAAGUCAUCUUCUACUCAUCCUUGCAAAUUGGCUGAACAGAACCUAUUAACUGCGGUUUCUGUUAGGAAGGUUAAUACAGUUUCACUGGAGUGUAUCUGCACCAACACUUUGUUUACUUUUCGUGCUUCGAUCUUUAGGCUUUUGUUGCCCCGUUUCUUCGGUAGUGAUUACAUGUGUAUACAAUUUCGCUGGUUAAGCUUAUUUGGAGUUUACUGAUUCCCAUUUUAUUGGCAUUGAAAGCAAUACUGUGUAGUAUGACACCGAAACUGAAAGCUUGAGUUCGGGUGACGGGGAAAGUGGGGAUGUAAUGUUAUGUUCUUCCGAGCCUUUGUCGGAGCGAGUUAUGUAAUGUGAUAUUCUUGUGUUGUGUAUACACUUUGUAGGAUAUGAUUUUCCUAAGUAGAGUUCAAUCUACGAUUCGGAUGAUCGUCAGUCGUAA